UUCUAUGCCUAUACCACCCUGAACACACUGGAUCUCUUCUGAUUUUGGGAGCUAUGCAGGGUUGGGCAUGGUUGAAGGAGAGAGAGAGAGU
rnacentral:rRNA from 1 species